ACGGAAGGCAGCAGUGGGGAAUAUUGCACAAUGGGGGAAACCCUGAUGCAGCGACGCCGCGUGAAGGAAGAAGUAUCUCGGUAUGUAAACUUCUAUCAGCAGGGAAGAUAAUGACGGUACCUGACUAAGAAGCCCCGGCUAACUACGUGCCAGCAGCCGCGGUAAUACGUAGGGGGCAAGCGUUAUCCGGAAUUACUGGGUGUAAAGGGAGUGUAGGCGGGACUGUAAGUCAGAUGUGAAAUAUGCCGGCUCAACUGGCAGACUGCAUUUGAAACUGCGGUUCUUGAGUGAAGUAGAGGUAAGCGGAAUUCCUAGUGUAGCGGUGAAAUGCGUAGAUAUUAGGAGGAACAUCAGUGGCGAAGGCGGCUUACUGGGCUUUAACUGACGCUGAGGCUCGAAAGCGUGGGGAGCAAACAGGAUUAGAUACCCUGGUA
rnacentral:rRNA from 1 species